ensembl:misc_RNA 7SK 7SK RNA
CUUUGGUCAAAGGUAUAUGAGUAGCUGAACUCCCUUGCUGGAAUCUCUAAUCAAGCUCUCAAGAUAGCUGAGUAGACAAGUAAGAGAUGAUGGAAACUGUAGGCAGGUGAAGC